UAUGAUAAGAAUUCAGAUGUCUAAGGUUCUUCUUGGCAUUAUCUAUAAUAAUAUAAUCUACUAACAAAAAUUGUCCGACUAUGAUCAUAUUAGGUCAAAAUUUGUAGUAUCCUUUCAUUAUCAAUAAAAUCCUUCUUUAUUUAUAACUAAUAUAUUUUAUAAUAUCUUUUGAUAUAAAGAAUUAAUAUUUUUAAUCAAUUUAAACCACCAUGCU
rnacentral:lncRNA from 1 species